GACGAACGCUGGCGGCGUGCUUAACACAUGCAAGUCGAACGGUAAGGCCCUUCGGGGUACACGAGUGGCGAACGGGUGAGUAACACGUGGGUGAUCUGCCCUGCACUUCGGGAUAAGCCUGGGAAACUGGGUCUAAUACCGGAUAGGACCACUGCCUGCAUGGGUGGUGGUGGAAAGCUUUUGCGGUGUGGGAUGGGCCCGCGGCCUAUCAGCUUGUUGGUGGGGUGAUGGCCUACCAAGGCGACGACGGGUAGCCGGCCUGGGAGGGUGACCGGCCACGCUGGGACUGAGAUACGGCCCAGACUCCUACGGGAGGCAGCAGUGGGGAAUAUUGCACAAUGGGCGCAAGCCUGAUGCAGCGACGCCGCGUGAGGGAUGACGGCCUUCGGGUUGUAAACCUCUUUCAGCGCCGACGAAGCGCAUGUGACGGUAGGUGCAGAAGAAGGACCGGCCAACUACGUGCCAGCAGCCGCAGUAA
rnacentral:rRNA from 1 species